UGUUGGUGCGUGUCGGUGCAGCAUCUUUAGCAGGGAGUUUGUAUAGGUCCUUCUCAAUAUAUGAACGUGUUGAAGUGGGAGUGGCAUUGUGUUGAAAUGGUUGAAAACCGAGGAGGGUGUUUUAAUUUCUACAUGUGACAAAUAUUGAUCCUGGUCUUCUCAAAUGCUGCAAAAACAUUGAGUACAAUGUGGAGAUUAUCUGGUGAUCAUUGAAGGUGAGCUAAAUUCCAUCUAUAACUAUUGUAUUGUCUAUUUAGUGUGCCACGUCACAGUGGUUUUAUAAUUUUCCUUGAUUAUUCAGGUUAACAUCGUUC